rnacentral:ncRNA from 1 species
UGCGACGGGUCGAGAAGGCCUCUAUUUGAUAGAGCGCCUAAUUGAUUUUGGAGGCACAAAGAUCAUUGAUCGCCUGCCGGAUUGCAGGGUGUCGGGUAAAACUUUUGUGGAGAAG